UACGUAGGGAGCAAGCGUUGUUCGGAUUUACUGGGCGUAAAGGGCGCGUAGGCGGCGCGGUAAGUCACUUGUGAAAUCUCUGAGCUUAACUCAGAACGGCCAAGUGAUACUGCAGUGCUAGAGUGCAGAAGGGGCAAUCGGAAUUCUUGGUGUAGCGGUGAAAUGCGUAGAUAUCAAGAGGAACACCUGAGGCGAAGGCGGGUUGCUAGGCUGACACUGACGCUGAUGCGCGAAAGCCAGGGGAGCAAGCGGG
rnacentral:rRNA from 1 species